rnacentral:lncRNA from 1 species
ACUAUAAUCAGCGAUUACAGUCCGGUAGUUUUUCAAGUGAACUACCCAACUCGUUGUUUUACCCCGGGCUAACAACGAACCCUACAAUCCCCCAAUUUAACCUAGGCUUGGGAUGCCUAACCCUUGUUCCAAGUCCCUUGACUGGAACAAGCACAAUAUUCAAGUGUAUUACAAGAAUUUAAAAGCUUCUAUGAAAGCAAAUAAAACGAUGAAGAACAACAAAACCGGAAGAACCCUCUUUGCCGUUGAAAAGCGUGGAUGAUGGUGGUUCUUCCGAUGUGGAUUACGUUGGCUUGAAUGCGAGCUUUGAUUGCCGAGUGGGAGUGAGUAGAUGAGCACGAAAUCAGAUGAAGAAGACUUGAAUGCUCUUGAUUUCUCCUCUUGAAAGCACCAACUCCCUUGAAACUCUUUCUCUUUCUUCUCUCUUGAAUGAUCUUAUGUUUGGUUGGUGAGAAG